rnacentral:rRNA from 1 species
UACGUAGGUGGCAAGCGUUGUCCGGAUUUACUGGGCGUAAAGAGCGCGCAGGCGGUCCGAUCAGUCGAAUGUGAAAGCCCCCGGCUCACUGGGAGGGUCAGUUCGAUUACUGUCGGACUCGAAGGCAGGAGAGGGAAGCGGAAUUCCCGGUGUAGUGGUGAAAUGCGUAGAUAUUGGGAAGAACACCUGAGGCGAAGGCGGGUUGCUGGGCCGACACUGACGCUGAGGAGCGAAAGCGUGGGGAGCAAACAGG